UAGAGUUUGAUCCUGGCUCAGGACGAACGCUGGCGGCGUGCCUAACACAUGCAAGUCGAGCGAGGAACUUCGGUUCCUAGCGGCGGACGGGUGAGUAACACGUGGGUAACCUGCCUUGUAGAGGGGGAUAGCCUUCCGAAAGGAAGAUUAAUACCGCAUAACAUUGCGAUAUCGCAUGAUAUUGCAAUCAAAGGAGUAAUCCGCUACAAGAUGGACCCGCGGCGCAUUAGCUAGUUGGUGAGGUAACGGCUCACCAAGGCGACGAUGCGUAGCCGGCCUGAGAGGGUGAACGGCCACAUUGGAACUGAGACACGGUCCAGACUCCUACGGGAGGCAGCAGUGGGGAAUAUUGCACAAUGGGCGAAAGCCUGAUGCAGCAACGCCGCGUGAGUGAUGGAGGCCUUCGGGUUGUAAAGCUCUGUCUUCUGGGACGAUAAUGACGGUACCAGAGGAGGAAGCCACGGCUAACUACGUGCCAGCAGCCGCGGUAAUA
rnacentral:rRNA from 1 species